rnacentral:rRNA from 1 species
UACGUAGGGGGCGAGCGUUGUCCGGAGUUACUGGGCGUAAAGCGCACGCAGGCGGUCUGCUAAGUUUGGAGUGACAGUUGGUGGCUUAACUGCCAAAGUGCUUCGAAAACUGACAGACUUGAGGGCUUCAGAGGGACACGGAAUUCCGGGUGGAGUGGUGAAAUGCGUAGAGAUCCGGAGGAACACCAAAGGCGAAGGCAGUGUCCUGGGCCAAUAUUGACGCUGAGAUGCGAAAGCGUGGGGAGCAAACAGG